rnacentral:tRNA from 1 species
AAAGUCGUGGCCGAGCGGUUAAGGCGAUGGACUUGAAAUCCAUUGGGGUCUCCCCGCACAGGUUCAAAUCCUGUCGACUGCG